rnacentral:rRNA from 1 species
GACGAACGCUGGCGGCGUGCUUAACACAUGCAAGUCGAACGGAAAGGCCUGCUUUCCCUUGUGGAUUGCGGGUGCUCGAGUGGCGAACGGGUGAGUAACACGUGAGUGAUCUGCCCCCAACUUGGGUAUAAGCCUGGGAAACUGGGUCUAAUUCCCGAUAGGACUGCAGGGUGGUGCCUGUGGUGGAAAACGAUUUUCUAGUGGUUGGGGAUGAGCUCGCGGCCUAUCAGCUUGUUGGUGGGGUAAUGGCCUACCAAGGCGGCGACGGGUAGCCGGCCUGAGAGGGUGGACGGCCACAUUGGGACUGAGAUACGGCCCAGACUCCUACGGGAGGCAGCAGUGGGGAAUAUUGCACGAUGGGCGGAAGCCUGAUGCAGCGACGCCGCGUGGGGGAUGACGGCCUUCGGGUUGUAAACUCCUUUCGACCGCGAGGAAGCCACCUGGUUGGAAGGGUGGUGACGGUAGUGGUAGAAGAAGCACCGGCUAACUACGUG